AAGUGGACGUAUAGGGUGUGAUGCCUGCCCGGUGCUGGAAGGUUAAUUGAUGGGGUUAGCGUAAGCGAAGCUCUUGAUCGAAGCCCCAGUAAACGGCGGCCGUAACUAUAACGGUCCUAAGGUAGCGAAAUUCCUUGUCGGGUAAGUUCCGACCUGCACGAAUGGCAUAAUGAUGGCGGCGCUGUCUCCAGCAGAGGCUCAGUGAAAUCGAAAUCGCUGUGAAGAUGCAGUGUACCCGCGGCUAGACGGAAAGACCCCGUGAACCUUUACUGCAGCUUGACACUGAACUUUGACCUUACUUGUGUAGGAUAGGUGGGAGGCUUUGAAGCUGGAACGCUAGUUCCAGUGGAGCCGUCCUUGAAAUACCACCCUGGUAAUGUUGAGGUUCUAACUCUGUCCCGUGAUCCGGGACGAGGACCGUGUCUGGUGGGUAGUUUGACUGGGGCGGUCUCCUCCUAAAGAGUAACGGAGGAGUACGAAGGUGCGCUCAGCGUGGUCGGAAAUCACGCGUAGAGUAUAAAGGCAAAAGCGCGCUUAACUGCGAGACCCACAAGUCGAGCAGGUACGAAAGUAGGUCUUAGUGAUCCGGUGGUUCUGUAUGGAAGGGCCAUCGCUCAACGGAUAAAAGGUACUCUGGGGAUAACAGGCUGAUACCGCCCAAGAGUUCAUAUCGACGGCGGUGUUUGGCACCUCGAUGUCGGCUCAUCUCAUCCUGGGGCUGAAGCAGGUCCCAAGGGUAUGGCUGUUCGCCAUUUAAAGAGGUACGCGAGCUGGGUUUAGAACGUCGUGAGACAGUUCGGUCCCUAUCUACCGUGGGCGCUGGAAAUUUGAGAGGAUCUGCUCCUAGUACGAGAGGACCAGAGUGGACGAACCUCUGGUGUACCGGUUGUGACGCCAGUCGCAUCGCCGGGUAGCUAUGUUCGGAAGGGAUAACCGCUGAAAGCAUCUAAGCGGGAAGCCUACCUCAAGAUAAGAUUUCCCUAGGACUUUAUGUCCUCUAAAGAGCCGUUCGAGACUAGGACGUUGAUAGGUUGGAUGUGGAAGCAUAGUGAUAUGUGAAGCUGACCAAUACUAAUUGCUCGUGAGGCUUGACUAU
rnacentral:rRNA from 1 species